ensembl:lncRNA
UCUCACAUGAAAACAGACAUUUUGAAUAAUGUAUUGGUUGUAUUUGUCCAAGUAAUUACAAUGAAAGAAGCCUGGAGCAUUCAAGUCUUUAACAAAACAAAAACACCAUAAAUGCAUCAUUAAAGUCUCAUAAAAGAGUCCAUUCCUUGUCUGUGUUUUAUACACAAAUGUCUUCUGAAAAAUAAAGAUCAUUUCCCUUUUUAUUUUCCACUGAGGAAAUAAAGGCAGGUUUGGAACAACACCAGGGUGAGUAAAUGGUGACAAUUUUCAUUUUCUGUGAACUAUGUGUAUUGGACAAAAAAAAUGAAAUUAAAAUAGUUUGCACAUGAAUGAUUCCGAUUAGAAUUAAAGUGCUUACUGUAUAAACAUAGAUCACCAUGUUAUUAACACAAAAUUAAUUCAUCUUUAAAUUGAGUUUCUAUAGCCUACCAAUUAUGUCUAAACGAAGUCGAGCAAAAGAGUGAGUGCAAGAGGGUUUCAAAAGUAGCCUAUACUCACCAGAACUGGCUGAAGAGCUAAAUGAAAAAGCUUUAAUGAAGUAAUGUGUUCCCGCGUGUGCGUGUCCUCCGUGCGUAAGCGUAAAAGCACCGACAGCGUGCUGCACGCUCCGCUAUUGGUCAGCUGAGCGCACGCACUAGAUUGCGGAGGCUCUGCGUUGCAUUGCCAGUGAAAGCAGCUGCGCUAUUAGGAGACACGGGGGAGUAGCGUGACGUUCACUUCAACGGAGCACAUGAGACGUACAUGGGAUAUAAUAGGUUACACUAUAUCUACGGUGGUCUGUGUUCGGAUAUGCAGUCUUAAAACGAAGUGGUGUGAUGGAUAUCAUUUCUAGACGCUCCAAAAUCCUCAUGAAGGUUAAAGCCAAAAUCCUUCAGCCCAGCAGCAUCUUCUCAGCGUACGACAGCUGCAGUUGUGUGAUUCGUGACAUCGCAUCCGUAUGAGGAAAAUGACUGGCACACUGUAAAGCAUCUGAUACUAUUCCCCCAAGAAGAAUGCUGCAACAGAACAACAACAAUAACUGCUUGGACAUGGCCCAUAGAGAGCUACUGCAUGAAUGCCGGAGAACCAAUGUCUCAUUCGCCAGUGCCCUUGAGUUUGGAGCCAUACCCCUGAUUAAAGGCCUGAGAGCAUGGGCUGUUAGUGGCGGCUACUCUAAAGCCAGAAGAAAGGCUGCUAAUGGAUCUCGGGCACAGGGCACAUGCCAACAGCCUCCUGAAAACAGGGUAGGGGAGAGAAGCUGGUCAGGUCAAGUCAGCAGUGGCUAUGGGCACACACUGGAUAGCACAAUUAGUGCAACCAGAACUCCAGGGGUCAGGCAAGGCGGUCUUGGUGCUCUUGUAACUGUGGCCACUUUGAAGGGCACUGAGGCGGGUGGCAGGCAGACUCAGACACGCUGCCUCUUUCUCAAGGCCCAGGGAAGGGGAAGCUACAUCUGUGCUGUUGGAAACCCCGGGACUGGGACAAGAGUCACGGCUCCACGGACUCAUGCUGUCAUUCUUGAAGGGACAAAGGAAGAGCUUAGAUGUUCCUCUAAAGGGCAGAAGGUGAGCCAGGAUGGGCCAGACGAUGGUGGAUUGUUCAAGGCCAAGCCCAGGGCCAUACGAAAAUGGAGGAAAUGCGGUAAACCCACAGAGAAGAGAACAGCGGCCCACAGCAAAGGGGAAAACGCUAGUCAGCACAGUGACCAAAAAAAUGCAGUGAUUUCAGAUGCACAACCACUUAGCAUAAUAGCAGAUAACACAAAAUCACAAGGCCUGAUGGGUAGCUAUCCAAGUCAGGACGACUUGAAGUUGAAGGGCAAAGACAAAAGGGCUCAUUCCCCCAUAUUAGUGAAAGCUGUCACACCCGAGAGCACAGAUCCACAAACCUGCUGCUCUUCUGCCAAACCAUGUGCCAAACCAGGUGAGCAGGUUGAAGAUGAGAUGAGCCUUAAUCAAUCCGAUAACUGUUCUGAAAAAGAAUUCAGUUGUGCCAAUGUGCAAGGAGACACUGAGGUCAGUAUAUGUGACUUUGAUGCAAAUGAUCGCCAGAACAUUGUUGCUGAUGUGCCAAACCUAGGGUCAUCUGUACCGUCUGAGACUCACUCUGAUAGUCUAAGAAUCAAAUUGCCCACAACAAACUGUAAUACUGAGCCAAGCAUGGAUCAUUCUCCCAUGAUAACGACCUCCGAAGUCCCUGUCAGCAUUCAGAAGAAUCAAGAAUCAAGGCCAGACGAGCGCCUACUAGACCGUAAGAAUCUACACUCGGUGGAGCCCGGCGAUCUUGCAAUACAGAGAGAUUGGUCUCCAGACACAAAGAAUACAGUUGUGCGUGAGGGCCGCACUCCAGUGGGUGCUGAAUGUAGCGCUACAGAAAAGAAAAGGAGGCCGUCCAUGUGCUCACCUCAGCAUUGGGAGGAAUUCAUCACAGAGCACGGAGAACUUGAAGUUCAGCACUCUGACAAAUCCUCUUCACGAGGCUUUAGCGCAACAACAGCCAAUAUAACUGUAACCACUAUUCACUCCCUGCCUAAACCUGCCCCUACCACCACCGCAGCCAUAGCAACAGCCAUCCCAGCAUUAAGCGAGGGGGAGGUGGGGGCUAGAGGUGGAGACUUGCUGCCUCUGGUGAACUCAGAGUUGCUAUCAGAGCCGGCAAGAGUUGACGACAAGGACAAGGUGGCCGCUGACGAGGGGUCUCUUGAUGUGGGCGAGGAGGAGGAGGAGGAUGAGUUUGGGGCAUUCAUGCUGGCAGAUGGAGAGCAGCUGUGGACGGAUGGGUUCAAUGAGGUCCAACAGUUGGCUGAGGAUUACAACUGUGAGGAACACACAAGUUCUGCUGAUGCAAAUGAACCCGCAUCCUGGGCAUCUGAUUGGACUGUAGUGCAGUCAUUCCAGCAGCCAGAGAGCACAUGGACUGCCUUCAGCCAGGAGACUGUGGAGCAGAAGAUAGUGUCUGGUGGACAGUGGUGGCCUUCUACCGAAAAGCCCAACCUUCCUCUCUCUCCUCUCCAUAAUGUGUCAAAUGUGUUUCUAGAGGCCUUUCCCUCAGAAAAGUCCCCCUGUGAAGAUCCUGAAUACAUUCCUACACUAAAGCAGCUUCUGCAAGGACCAGCUGAAAACAGUGAUACAGGGGAGCACAAGGAGCAGAGCUUACUUGAUGGCCUCCAGGAUCUAAACCGGAUGAUUGGUGUGAAAUAUAAGAGGGCGGAGUCUCUGUCCUGUAAACUUCUCCUUCAGUCACUGCAUUUGCAGCGUCCCAGCUCUGAAUGUGCGACAGUUCGACCGAAGACCAGUGCCAGAUUUUCUCCAAAUCUCCCAACGUCCAACCAGCAAUUAGCUGCAAACGCUAAGAGAAGACUGUCAUAUGACUUCAACAGAAAUAUAAUGGUUUAGUCUCUAUAUCUGCUGAACAUCUUUGACCUGUGCUUCCUUGAAAACAGGAAAUACAGGACAGAGGAAAAAUACAUGCUGGAAAACUGAAUAACUGAGUUUCCAUACAUUCUAUUCGAGGUUUAUUUAAAGUGUAUUUCUUCUUUCAGUGUCUGUUCUCACUCAGUGUCUGGUAGAUUCUGUUUCUCAUUCAGUUGUGUAUCAAGACACACUAGACCUAUGUUUAACCAAAUAUAUGUUUUUCAGUAUUUCAGAAUAUUGGGGUUCAAUUAGGACAAAUAUAAAAAAUGUCAAGUUAAAACCCCCUUUGCCAAAUUGUUCAGUCCAGUUAUUGGAGUCUGGUUAUUGGACCCAUUUUGAUAUAACUGAUAUAUUCAGAUGAAAUGUCAAUAUGCAUUUGUGUAUUACUUUCAAUCAUUGCUAUGGAUUAUAUUUGUUAGAAUAAUAAUAUUUUUCUGGUGUCAUAGCAAACCAGUUAGUGCACAUUCUCACAGGGAUGUAGAUUCAUAUCUGGCCUGUCACGUCCUGAUCCACGUCCCAAACUUUCCUUUCUGCUGACUCAGAAAACUGAAUAAAAAAUAAUAAUGUGAUUUUAGGGGGAUUAGGAUCAACUCUAGCUCCCUGCAAUCUCUCCUUCGCCUGUCUGAAACUGUCAAAGCAAAUUUCCACAAAUUGUAUUUUCAUACACCACCUCACACAGACAUCCAUUUUUUUGUCUUUUUUCCCUGUGCUUGAAGUACUAAAUAUAACACUGUAGUGUACCAUUUUUAACUCCUGACGAAUAGAGACCAUAUUUUCAGAAGUGUUUUAAAAUUAAUGUUGACAUAUGAAAUUGAACCUGUAAGCUUGUUUGUUGAUUGAUGUAAUUAAAACAUCUUUGAAGGAUUGAAUGAAGUGGAUAACUGGGGGAUCAACCAUUUAACGUUUCAUAAGAGACCUGAGCAAAUGUGAAAAAAAGCUCAUUUUUUAUGAACACAAAAUAACUUAAAGCACGUUUCAAUUAUGUGCACAAAUCUAUAUGAUAUAUUUUUUUAAAUAUUGCAUAAUAAAAGCACAUUUCAAAAGUUUUAGUUCCAGUUAUGCCAGCAAAACACUGGAGGACAUUGGUUAACUUUGCCUGAUCUGAGUGACUUGGCUGCUUGUUUACCAAGAUAACAGUUCACUGUCUCCAGCUGUUCACACUGCCCUCACACACCCUCAUCAUGAGUGUAUAUGGCAGUGAGGCAUGUUUACUUAGAGUGGACAAUAUGAAGAGAAAUGCAAUAAACUGUUUUGACAGAGACUGCAGCUAUUUCUAUCCCCUCAGCAACAUGUGACUCUCUCCCUCACUUCAUCUUCACAACAGACUCCGUCACGAGUUUGAGUGUUUUUUCUGUUAUUUUGUAUUUCACCAGAAAACUAUAAAGUGAGGAAAUUUUGGAACAUGAUGUACAACUAUUUUUACAAGCUGGGUCAUCAUGCAGUUUAAGUUUUUUUUUCUUUUCUUUUUUCAUUUAUUGAUCUGAACAAAGCGUGGUUGUGCAAGCCACAGUGCAAACAUUUUCCAAUAAUACUGUAAUAUAUACAGGAUGCAAAUUAACCCAAAGCACUGCAUCAGAAUGUACAGUAUGACACAUGAAU